rnacentral:rRNA from 1 species
UACGGGGGGGCAAGCGUUGUUCGGAAUUACUGGGCGUAAAGGGCUCGUAGGCGGCCAACUAAGUCAGACGUGAAAUCCCCAGGCUCAACCUGGGAACUGCGUCUGAUACUGGAUGGCUUGAAUUCGGGAGAGGGAUGCAGAAUUCCAGGUGUAGCGGUGAAAUGCGUAGAUAUCUGGAGGAAUACCGGUGGCGAAGGCGGCAUCCUGGACCGACAUUGACGCUGAGGAGCGAAAGCUAGGGGAGCAAACGGG